rnacentral:tRNA from 1 species
GGCGGCGUACCCAAGUGGUAAGGGAGCAGUCUGCAAAACUGCGAUUCAGCGGUUCGAUCCCGCUCGCCGCCU